AGAGUUUGAUCCUGGCUCAGGAUGAACGCUAGCGGCAGGCUUAACACAUGCAAGUCGAGGGGCAGCACGUCUUCGGAUGGUGGCGACCGGCGCACGGGUGCGUAACGCGUAUACAAUCUACCUUUUACAGGGGCAUAGCCCGGGGAAACCCGGAUUAAUAUCCCAUAGUAUCAAGACAUGGCAUCAUGAUUUGAUUAAAGUUUCGGCGGUAAAAGAUGAGUAUGCGUCCUAUUAGCUAGAUGGUAAGGUAACGGCUUACCAUGGCUACGAUAGGUAGGGGUCCUGAGAGGGAGAUCCCCCACACUGGUACUGAGACACGGACCAGACUCCUACGGGACGCAGCAG
rnacentral:rRNA from 1 species